UACGGAGGGUGCAAGCGUUAUCCGGAUUUACUGGGGUUAAAGGGUGCGUAGGUGGGUCUGUAAGUCCGUGGUGAAAUCUCCGAGCUUAACUCGGAAACUGCCAUUGAUACUAUAGAUCUUGAAUAUCCUGGAGGUGAGCGGAAUAUGUCAUGUAGCGGUGAAAUGCUUAGAUAUGACAUAGAACACCAAUUGCGAAGGCAGCUCACUACUGGAUCAUUGACACUGAGGCACGAAAGCGUGGGGAUCAAACAGG
rnacentral:rRNA from 1 species